rnacentral:rRNA from 3 species
UCAAAUGGAGAGUUUGAUCCUGGCUCAGGAUGAACGCUGGCGGCAUGCCUAAUACAUGCAAGUCGAACGAAGUCUUU